UGUUACAAGUGUUUCCUAAAUGUAAUUACAUCGUCUGUCUGAAUGCUUUAUUCUGAUUAGCUUGCAGGUGUUGCAUGGCUAGCUGUGCAUCAAAUAAUUUUAAUGCUUUGUCAGGUGGAUCUUUGCCUCCACAUUGUGAUUUAAAUUGCAAUUAGUUAUGCAUCAUCUCUUACAUAUAAUAUGUGUUUCUCUAGAUUGGAAAUGGUUGUUUUCAACUGAUUGAUAGAAUUGCAGAGUCAAAGGGAAAGGACAUUCAUAUUUUUUUGACCUGUAUACCGUACCAACAUGGCUACCCCCAAUGAGCUGUGAUCCAAUGUUAAGUCUGCCUGAUGAUGCUCACUUAAAAGAAGCGGUGGUGAUUCCAAUAUGGACACCAGGACACUACCAGCUGUGUGUUUUGAAACCAGCACAGAGAGUGAUUCUUUGUCUAGAUUCUAAAUGUGCUGAGACACCACAUGGAUUCGGUGCCCAGACAUACAAAUUGCUGUUGAGGUCUUUAGACAAAAUAAUUUAAUGCCGGUUCUGUUGUCUUUAUAUGGUCACGUUCUUAUGACAUUUCUCUGUUCUAUUAUUAUUAUUCAUAUUUUUUGUUUUUAUUUCUAUAAUAAAGCAGGUUUCUCAGACCUUUUGCAUCAGCACCCCUCUUUUUUUAUUUUAAGGUACAGAUGACAGAAAGCAAAAACAAAAAAACAAUUGUCAUAAUUCACUCAGCACCAUCUCAUUCCAAAUUCAUAUGCCUGACUUGGGUCUUACAGAAUUCUUUUUGUGAUCUCUGGUGUGUCAUUUGUAAGCUUCUGCAUAUGGUCUGAGAACUGUCAACUCAGUUCCUGGAGGGCUUCAGCCCUGCAGAUCUUAGUUCCAACCCUUCUCCAAUGCACAAACCAUGUAGUUUUAAAAUGAGACUGAAGGACGUGAUUUGUUUAAUUAUGGUUGAAGCAAAACACUGCAGGGCAGUGACCCUCCAGGAAUUGAGUUUGUCUCCCCUGCUUUAGAUGUUGGUUCUGCUGUUUAGAGCUGGUCCGUUUCUUUUGACCAGUCUUUCUUCUGCAAGUUGAUUGUAAAUGAGAGUUCCAUUGUUUGUUUGCUGGAGCUUGAAAGUUUGUUUCUUUUGCGAGCAUUUCUAGAGCAGGUUUCUCAUACUGGGGGUCUCUGUUUAAU